UUUGAUUAGCUUUCUAUGUCGUUUCGAUUCAAAAAAAGAGAUUUGUAGACUAACUCAAAGUGGGAGGAUCCUAGAUAAUUGGCAACUUAGAAAGAGCCAUAUAUAACUUGACAGUUAAUAAUACCCAAUGUCCUCAGAUUAACACUCAAUUUAUAUAGUCGAUAUCAUGUAUGUCGUUGUUGGUCCAAACCGAUCUAUUGCCGUUACUUGUGCAACUUGGAAUCUCAUCUUCUCAUCCAUUGAACGAGUGGUCUCAGAGUAACUCUCUAUCUUCUUCUCUACAUAUAAACGAGCGACUUGAUUAGCUAGCUAGAGAGCUACUUGCAUGUUCGCAUCUGCACGAUCACAUCUUAAACAGAGAAAUAUAAUUAAGAUGUUUGAAUAUUCAAUUCUAGGAGCACAAUAUCUAUAUGAAAUUAUAUGUGUACGUACGUAGUGCCACGUUAAUAUAAAAAAGAAUGAUUAAGGAACACUGUUGCAUGUGGGUGAUUCACUACUAGAUUAACAAAUUAGUCGAGAAAAUUGUUAAUUAGCUUAAUUAACUGGUUAAUUAUAGUAUAUUAGUCAUGGUCUCCAAAGAGCUACGUACUCAUCAGACACAUAUAUACCUAUUUGCAUGGAGCUAGGAAGCCUUGUGCGUCAGUUGGGACAUAUUUUGACACAUGCCCUUUUUGAAAGAAGAGAUCGAGUUUAAUCAACGAUACAUGUAGCUCAGUUUGGUACGAAUCAUAUGUAUAUAUAGCAGCUGCAUGCAUGUUAGCUUAUGCCAAACCUAGUAUGCAACUAUAUGCAUGGCAGUUGGUGCGAGAUGAUCGAGAAUUAAUGCUGGGCCGCCUCAUUCGGCAUGAGGAGAGUAUUAUUGCAAUUGGAAAGCAAGGAGAAGGGGAAAGGAGACCCAAUAUGAUAUGAUAUAUCUCUUGGGGCCUGGCCCAAAUUAACAAACGAAAGUGCGGCAAGAAAAGAAAGAGACGAGGAUGAGCAAGUGGGGCACUCUCGAAAGAGAGAAAGGAACAACUAGCCAGUGCGCGCUUGGUUUUGUGACUUGUGAGGAGGUUCCAAACGUACGUCCCCCAACACAGAGCACAAGUUAGUUCCAAUGUGACCUCCUAAUUAGCCACCCCUUUCCCUAUUCCUCUCUAGCUUGCCAUUUGUUUCUGCUUCAUUUGGUCGAUCGGUUUGAUAUCUUGAAUGUAUGAUAUAUGCUUAAUUAACAUGUUAAUCCUGUACAAGCACCAGUGAUAUAUGAUGAUCGAAUAUAUGCCAACGCCAACGGCCAACCCCUUGAGGAGUUCAGGAGCAUUACUGAGACCUCGCUACAAAGCAGUGAUUCAUGAGCUAUAUAUAUGUAUACCUGCAGCGUCAUAAGAGGAAUGAAGUGGAGGUGGUGAUUUGAGUUAGAGAAGAACAAGGUUGGUACGACUGGUAUUGGCAGCAGCAGUGGCUUUUUGAGAGGAAAGGUUUCCCAGACACCGAAAGUGCGUGCAUGCUCUCUUCGCCAUCGUCCACUGCCACUACGAUUUUCUUCGUACUAAUAUCCCCUUCCAUCCUCUCUAUCUUAUGAAAUAAUAUGAAAAGUUGGAAGUUGAAAACUAACUCUUGAAAUUUUAAUGAAAGAUGUGAAAAGAACAGCUAACUACGUUAGAAAGAGACAUGAAAAGAUAUGAACAAGGAGAUGUCACCCCCCCACCCUAGCCUCAUUACUGUCUUUAUCAUCUCUUCGAUUCUAACGUACUUAUUGUGGUUCUUUUUUUUUUUGGAGUCCUCCUUCCUUAAAGUUACUUGCAUGGUUAAAU
rnacentral:lncRNA from 1 species